GACGAACGCUGGCUGCGUGCUUAACACAUGCAAGUCGAACGAUGAAGCGGUGCUUGCACCGUGGAUUAGUGGCGAACGGGUGAGUAAUACGUGAGUGACCUACCUUUGACUCUGGGAUAAGCCUGGGAAACUGGGUCUAAUACCGGAUACGACCAAUCUCUGCAUGGGGUGUUGGUGGAAAGCGUUAUGGAGUGGUUUUAGAUGGGCUCACGGCCUAUCAGCUUGUUGGUGAGGUAAUGGCUUACCAAGGCGACGACGGGUAGCCGGCCUGAGAGGGUGACCGGCCACACUGGGACUGAGACACGGCCCAGACUCCUACGGGAGGCAGCAGUGGGGAAUAUUGCACAAUGGGCGCAAGCCUGAUGCAGCGACGCCGCGUGAGGGAUGACGGCCUUCGGGUUGUAAACCUCUGUUAGCAUCGAAGAAGCGAAAGUGACGGUAGGUGCAGAGAAAGCGCCGGCUAACUACGUGCCAGCAGCCGCGGUAAUACGUAGGGCGCGAGCGUUGUCCGGAAUUAUUGGGCGUAAAGAGCUUGUAGGGCGGUUGGUCGCGUCUGCUGUGAAAGGCCGGGGCUUAACUCCGGUUUUGCAGUGGGUACGGGCUAACUAGAGUGCAGUAGGGGAGACUGGAAUUCCUGGUGUAGCGGUGGAAUGCACAGAUAUCAGGAGGAACACCGAUGGCGAAGGCAGGUCUCUGGGCUGUAAUUGACGCUGAGAAGCGAAAGCAUGGGGAGCGAACAGGAUUAGAUACCCUGGUAGUCCAUGCCGUAAACGUUGGGCACUAGGUGUGGGGGACAUUCCACGUUUUCCGCGCCGUAGCUAACGCAUUAAGUGCCCCGCCUGGGGAGUACGGCCGCAAGGCUAAAACUCAAAGGAAUUGACGGGGGCCCGCACAAGCGGCGGAGCAUGCGGAUUAAUUCGAUGCAACGCGAAGAACCUUACCAAGGCUUGACAUGCAUUAGAUCGCGUCAGAGAUGGCGUUUCCCUUCGGGGCUGGUGUACAGGUGGUGCAUGGUUGUCGUCAGCUCGUGUCGUGAGAUGUUGGGUUAAGUCCCGCAACGAGCGCAACCCUCGUUCUAUGUUGCCAGCGGUUCGGCCGGGGACUCAUAGGAGACUGCCGGGGUCAACUCGGAGGAAGGUGGGGAUGACGUCAAAUCAUCAUGCCCCUUAUGUCUUGGGCUUCACGCAUGCUACAAUGGCCGGUACAGAGGGUUGCGAUACUGUGAGGUGGAGCUAAUCCCUUAAAGCCGGUCUCAGUUCGGAUUGGGGUCUGCAACUCGACCCCAUGAAGUCGGAGUCGCUAGUAAUCGCAGAUCAGCAACGCUGCGGUGAAUACGUUCCCGGGCCU
rnacentral:rRNA from 1 species